CAGCCACGGACACCCCAUCGCCAGUCCGUGGGCAGAGUGGCCGGAACUUGGGGUGGGGAGUUGGGGGGGAGGGGGGAGUCCUCUGACACCAGCAACACUGCUGUCCGGUUUCUGACGACUGAGAGUUUGUCUUUCGGGUUUGUUUGUUUGUUUUUAAACCAAAACAGCUGUAACUUCGGGGAACAACAGACACAGUUUGGGGUGACAGCAGGGGUCCCGCCCUCAUCCUCAAGGCAUGAUAGUUAGACAACCCUCGUCCCUUUCCUUUGAAAAAUACGCACCAUGACUUCCUCGCAUGUGCAUCCCGUGUGGAGUGUGUCCAGAGCUGCAAACAGGUAGGUCACACGUACGUGUGUGUGUUUGGCAACCCACGGGGGCGCGUACACCCGCGUGUAGAAACACAGACACAUACAUCCUCAUAGACACGUGUGUCUUAUAUAUAUGCUGAGAAAGGUCACAUAUAUAUACAACUGCGUAUGUUAUCUGUGUGUGUGUCUGUCUGCGUGUGUGUGCGUGUGUGUGCGUGUGUGUGUGCGUGUGAGCAGGUAGAAAAACUCGACAGGCAGAGUAAUGUUCCACUCAGUGUUGUUAGGUGACGUCUUUGAGGAAAA